ensembl:lncRNA
CAGAAUUUGAACUUCAAACGAGAACUUUGUACUAAAAAGAGCCUGUGUGUGUACAUCUACAACAAGACACUGAUGCUGCUUUCAACACGCAGCGUUCAUGUAUAUCUGAAGACCACCUUCCCAGAGAAUGAGAGCGCUCUCUAGUGGUCACAACUAACUAAAGAACUACACUACAGCACUUUUGACAAGGGCUUGACUGGACUGAUUACCCGGUCACCACACCCCGAACCCUUUCCUUCACAUGAUGCCUCAGGCUACAACGCCACACCCCACGAAAGUGCUCCCCCUCCUGAGUGGGACGGUCUCUGUGCAGGUGGGACAGUUUGGCUGGCUCAGAACACUGCCGGGCUCCAGGGCUCUCUGCGGUCCGUUUUCCCACAGAGAAACAGAGUCUGACUGACAAAUAACAGGGCCCUGCCGGCCCUCGGGCUGAGAUAGGCCUCAUGGUUGGUAUCGGAAUCGGGAGAGCCGUGGAGAUCGGGACCGGGACUCAUGGACGUCCGCUCGAUGGGAGAGCCACAAUGUGGGCUGCUCUUCAAACGCCUGUCUAAUUUAGUCAUAUGACGCUGAGGCUAAACGUCCCAGACAACAAUAUGUCAUUUUAAUGUCAUUACAGAUGUUUUAUUCACAGAGUUCUGUGGUCGGGGCAGGGAUUGUGAGGACUGGGAGGGUUUUUCCAUCCUUUUCUUUUAAAAUUAAUUUCAUAUGUCGCAGUCUCGGUGUGCGGCCACGUCUUUCUAGUGUAAAGUAGCAGAAUGAUGCACUUCGUAUGCUCAUAAUGAACUGCAAAUUAAAGUACACCGUGACAGAGUUAAUAAGGACUGUUCUGUAUCAGAGUUAGAUACGGUGUGCACAGCUGAAAUGUCAAAUGUAUGUGAUUUGGUUGUUGUUGUUGCAUAAAAUAAGUGUCACAUUUACUUCAUUUAAAAAAAAUAGACAAACAUUUUUCUUUGACUGUUAUGUUAUUUGAGAAUUUUGGAUAUAAAU